AUACGGAGGAUCCGAGCGUUAUCCGGAUUUAUUGGGUUUAAAGGGUGCGCAGGCGGGAGAUUAAGUCGGCGGUGAAAUUUUUCAGCUCAACUGUAAAAGUGCCUUUGAAACUGGGUUCCUUGAGUGUAGAUGAAGAAGGAGGGACUUGAGGUGUAGCGGGGAAAUGCAUAUAUAUCACGAGGAACUCCGAUUGCGCAGGCAGCUUACUAAACUACUACUGACGCUCAGGCACGAAGGCGUGGGGAUCAAACAGGAUUAGAUUCCCUGGUAGUCCACGCAGUAAACGAUGAUUACUAGCUGUUUGCGAUACAAUGUAAGCGGCUGAGCGAAAGCGUUAAGUAAUCCACCUGGGGAGUACGUUCGCAAGAAUGAAACUCAAAGGAAUUGACGGGG
rnacentral:rRNA from 1 species